rnacentral:rRNA from 1 species
GUUAGGAAUAUUGGACAAUGGGCGCAAGCCUGAUCCAGCCAUGCCGCGUGAACGAUGAAGGCCUUCGGGUUGUAAAGUUCUUUAGCCGAUGAUUAUAAUGAAUGUAGUCGGAAAAUAAGCCCCGGCUAACUUCGUGCCAGCAGCCGCGGUAAUACGAAGGGGGCGAGCGUUAUUCGGAAUCACUGGGCGUAAAGCGUGCGUAGGCGGUUUUGUAAGUUGGGAGUGAAAGCCCAGGGCUCAACCCUGGAAUUGCUCUCAAAACUACAAGAAUUGAAUUCGGGAGAGGAUAGCGGAAUUGUCAGUGUAGCAGUGGAAUGCGUAGAUAUUGACAGGAACACCAGUGGCGUAAGCGGCUAUCUGGACCGACAUUGACGCUGAGGCACGAAAGCGUGGGGAUCAAACAGGAUUAGAUACCCUAGUAGUCC